CCUAACACAUGCAAGUCGAACGGAGUGAAGGAGCUUGCUCUUUUCAUUUAGUGGCGCACGGGGUGAGUAACGCGUAGAUAAUCUGCCUUAGACUCUGGGAUAACAUCUCGAAAGGGGUGCUAAUACCUGAUAAGCCCACGAUGGCGAAAGUCGUUGCGGGAAAAGGGGGCCUCUGAAUAUGCUCUUGAUCUAAGAUGAGUCUGCGUACCAUUAGCUAGUUGGUAGGGUAAGAGCCUACCAAGGCGACGAUGGUUAGCUGGUCUGAGAGGAUGAUCAGCCACACUGGAACUGAGACACGGUCCAGACUCCUACGGGAGGCAGCAGUGGGGAAUUUUGCGCAAUGGGGGAAACCCUGACGCAGCAACGCCGCGUGAGUGAUGAAGGCUUUCGGGUCGUAAAGCUCUGUCUAGAGGGAAG
rnacentral:rRNA from 1 species